ensembl:lncRNA
CUGAGAUUUUUCAGAGGCUUCAAACCCGGCCAGUUUGGGGUGUGCUCUUCUGAGGAUGACCAAAGGCUCUAUUCUCUUCAUAGAAUGAAGCUGUGAAAGGACCAUAGGAAGAGACAAAACUGGAAAAUUAUAUAUAAUGUCUUGUCCACUAUGUGUUUCUGAAGAUGCCAGACCUUCACAAACCCAUGUGUGCUUCUGCUCGAGUAACUGUACCAACACUGACUUUUUUUUUGAACAACAUUACGUACAG